GGGGAAUAUUGCGCAAUGGGGGAAACCCUGACGCAGCAACGCCGCGUGAGUGAUGAAGGUCUUCGGAUCGUAAAGCUCUGUCCUCUGGGAAGAAAAAAUGACGGUACCAGAGGAGGAAGCCCCGGCUAACUACGUGCCAGCAGCCGCGGUAAUACGUAGGUGGCAAGCGUUGUCCGGAUUUACUGGGUGUAAAGGGCGUGCAGCCGGGAAGGCAAGUCAGAUGUGAAAUCUGGAGGCUCAACCUCCAAACUGCAUUUGAAACUGCUUUUCUUGAGUAUCGGAGAGGUAAUCGGAAUUCCUUGUGUAGCGGUGAAAUGCGUAGAUAUAAGGAAGAACACCAGUGGCGAAGGCGGAUUACUGGACGACAACUGACGGUGAGGCGCGAAAGCGUGGGGAGCAAACA
rnacentral:rRNA from 1 species